CAUACUACAAGUACGAGCGAUUCUGACCCUGGUGACAGGGAUGAUCGCCGGGCAGAGCUACCAGCCAUCGUGGACAGCACCACAUUCAUGUGGCCGGGCGAUGGUCAAGUACAGCGUGCAGUCGUGAUGGCUGACCAGCAGCCCGUCCUGCUCUUUUCUACACGCCUGCUUCUUGACAAGAUGCAACAAGACAAUGGCGGUAGCAGCGAUGGCGACUCGGCUCUAUUGCCAAUUGCCAAGGUCUAUUCCAUGAAAGUGGUGCUGGAUACAGACUCUGCUCUAGUCAGUGACAUCUUCAGAACACAUGGAUUUGAAGAGGUGAGUAGAGGUGUCGCAUGUGUAUUGAGUGGACGCGCACACCCACGU